rnacentral:rRNA from 1 species
UACGUAGGGUGCGAGCGUUGUCCGGAAUUAUUGGGCGUAAAGGGCUCGUAGGCGGUUUGUCGCGUCGGGAGUGAAAACCAGGUGCUUAACACCUGGCUUGCUUUCGAUACGGGCAGACUAGAGGUAUGCAGGGGAGAACGGAAUUCCUGGUGUAGCGGUGAAAUGCGCAGAUAUCAGGAGGAACACCGGUGGCGAAGGCGGUUCUCUGGGCAUGACCUGACGCUGAGGAGCGAAAAGUGUGGGGAGCGAACAGG